GUAUUACAUUGGUGCAAAAGUAAUUGCAGUUUUUGCCAUAACUUUCAAUUGCAAAAAUUGCAAUUACUUUUGUAUCAACCUAA
rnacentral:miRNA from 1 species